UCACAGCCACCAAACUGACCCGUUCCGGAGUAGAGCCGCCCUUUAAUACAACCGAACCGGGACUGCGGCGUCCUGGUGGGUUCCUCCUCCUCCACUCGUGAAGUCUACACCUAAUAUGAUCUGACCGAACUUAACGGUUCUGACUCGGUGUUUCUGGUCGUUCUGAAGAAAGAAGCUCUGUGGUUCUGUGACUGCCAUGACCUCAGCCUUGGGUCUGAGCACUGACGGAACCAGGACUGCAGGAUGAGCAGACAGAACAUCUGGACCGAGCAGCAGCAACAGCAGAACCAAAGCCCUCUGAGCAUCAGCAGCUACUAGGACCACAGGGAUCUCUUCCAGCAACACACAAAUCUAUCUUCCAAAGUCAGCAUCUGCAGCUUGCUCCAGAACAACGUGCCUUCACGCAGAACUCCUGCUCCCGGAGAAGAUCCUGCAGGGUUCUCCUGGCUGACGGCGGAGGGCUGGGAUCCUGUUGCUGUGACUCGGACCUGCCCGGGACUUUCUCAUCCUUCUUCUUUCUCUCCUGGUCAGAGGAACCUGCUGGCUCUGCGGUGGCACGUUGUCCUGCGGACGCAGACCCUGGAGGAGCUUGUGGGAUUAUUUUUGUAACGAUGAUUUUCUGAUUUCUAUUUUUCUAAAGCAGUUUGGGACAGAGGAGAACGUGGAGGAAUGGGACGCUUGUUGCUUCUCCUUACUGCUCCCAGCAGAGCCAAAGCCAUAGCUACAGAUAUCUGAGACACUGUAAACACAACACGAUGCAUUCAGGGACAGACGCUUCAUUUCAGCUCCUUGUUGCUGUUUCUUUGGUUCUAUUCUGAGGCGCUUAACUUCAUAGUGUUGAGUAUGUUCUACCUUUGUGUGGCCUGUAGUUCUAUGUGGUUCUCAACAUAUCAGAACAGACCGAAGGUUCUGUUUGCCAGAACCGGACCUAAAAGCUGUAAAUUCUCAAACAGACUCUAAAAUAAAGAGAAAAGGAUGACGUGAACUUUUAAUGUUUUUCACAUUUUUAGUUUAUCAAACAGAAAAAUAAAUGUUGACUGUGAUGUAAAAUAAUCCAGAAGAGAAAAGAUCAAAGUGUUGUGCAUUAGGAUGGAAUUUCAGAAUAAAAGCAGCGACUGAUUCAGAGGCUUAAAAUAACGGGAUAAACGUUUGUUUCUAUUUUCUAUUU
ensembl:lncRNA